CCUACGGGCGGCAGCAGUGGGGCAUAUUGCACAAUGGGGGAAACCCUGAUGCAGCGACGCCGCGUGAGUGAAGAAGUAAUUCGUUAUGUAAAGCUCUAUCAGCAGGGAAGAAAAUGACGGUACCUGAGUAAGAAGCCCCGGCUAACUACGUGCCAGCAGCCGCGGUAAUACGUAGGGGGCAAGCGUUAUCCGGAUUUACUGGGUGGAAAGGGAGCGUAGACGGCAGUGCAAGUCUGGAGUGAAAGGCGGGGGCUCAACCCCCGGACUGCUCUGGAAACUGUACGGCUGGAGUGCAGGAGAGGUAAGUGGAAUUCCUAGUGUAGCGGUGAAAUGCGUAGAUAUUAGGAGGAACACCAGUGGCGAAGGCGGCUUACUGGACUGUAACUGACGUUGAGGCUCGAAAGCGUGGGGAGCAAACAGGAUUAGAUACCCCAGUAGUC
rnacentral:rRNA from 1 species